rnacentral:miRNA from 1 species
UAUUCGAAUCAUCUGCUCCCAGCC